CACGUAUGGCGCAAGCGUUGUCCGGAAUUAUUGGGCGUAAAGAGCUCGUAGGCGGUCUGUUGCGUCCGCUGUGAAAACUCGGGGCUUAACCCCGAGCCUGCAGUGGAUACGGGCAGACUAGAGGUAGGUAGGGGAGAAUGGAAUUCCCGGUGUAGCGGUGAAAUGCGCAGAUAUCGGGAGGAACACCGGUGGCGAAGGCGGUUCUCUGGGCCUUACCUGACGCUGAGGAGCGAAAGCGUGGGGAGCGAACAGG
rnacentral:rRNA from 1 species